CGUUAGCGUUCCUCCGAGCCUCUCAAAGUCUCUCGAGAUGACGAUUUAGUUCAAUGGCGUUUCGGGGGUGAUUAACCCUUGGGAACCUCGCUAUAAGUUACGUUCCAUUGGUAUCCCGCUGAUUCCACGCUUCAUUCUUCCUCCUCUCUAACAGACAAACCCGAUAUAGUAAGACGUUCAACGUGCACUAUUUUACAAACGAUACCGUUUGAAAAAGAGUUUAGGAAUCUGUUCUUCGGAGACGAGAUUCGAAUGAUCACGACGCUGGAAUUUAAUGGGUUUGUCGAUUCGCCUGAAUCUCAGUUAUCCGAGCUUUUGGAUUUUUUCCUGCCACGGUGCAACAGGUUAUUCGAAUGCUUUCGCGAAUUCUUUGUUCCCGGAAUGAUUCAGUUCUGUCCGACCGAGCGGAAGCUCGCGCAACGUUCCCAGCCCCGUCGACCGAAAGUAAUUAGUUAUGAAACACGACUCCCCAUGUGGAUGAUCGAAGGGGCCGCGAUAAGGAGCCGGCUCCCGUUUCAAACAAUUUUCCAAUCAGAGGCCAAUCGGUCGAACAUUAUUUCGUACACGUUUCAAAUUUAUUUAUAGUUCUUAUGGUCCGUUCCUGCUGACACAUUUUCAAUAAAACAGAGCUGCUUCCUGUUUUAAAUUCCUGGCCUGGCAUACGAGCAUAGAAACAUUCAGUAUCGAAUAUCAAUUAAUCUAACCGAAUCUCCUUGGCUAACACGCCGGAGCCAUUGUCUUACGCUCGAGCGAGCUCGCGGCGCAAAUUAUGGUUCAAACGUGGCAGCCACGAGUCGCAUUACCAAUACAAAUUAUUCUGUUACACAGAGACAAAAACCCGAUCUCUAUUUACAUCUCUUUGGUAAAAUAUCGCAGCAGUAAAAGGUCGACGUAAAUAAAAAUCGAAGUGGAGUUUUGCUACUGAGAAAAUGACGUUGAUGCAAGGAGACAAUAAGGAGAGCUCACGUAUCCCAUUGGUUCGAUGAGCAUCGUUUCGCGUGGAGGACUAUUUACAGCGAGCGGGAAGAAAUUUAAUAAAACCUGAGAAAGUCGCGGAAACCGACGUAGCAUACGUUUGUGCCGUCGCCGAGACGGCGAAGACGCGACGGGCGGGAGAGAGGCGCGGCGGAGAGAAAAAUUUCAUCGUCUGCGUGCAGUGCGCGAGGGUUCGACAGCCUGUGAACGAGCAGGAGCUAGGAACUCGUCGCACAGUGGCACAGAAUCAAUUUCCCACCCGAAUCUACGCGUUCAUAAGUCUUACAACAUGUUCCAAUAUGUAUAACACAAUCACGGUCUAACAUUCAUGAUUCGUUGCACGAUUUCUUGUAUGAUUCUUCCAUUUAGUAAGAAACGGCGUUUGUAUUCCAGUUUUAAAUAAAAUGUAAUAUUCCGCUUAAAGAUAAA